rnacentral:rRNA from 1 species
UACAGAGGUCUCAAGCGUUGUUCGGAUUCAUUGGGCGUAAAGGGUGCGUAGGUGGCGCCGUAAGUCGGGUGUGAAAUUUCGGAGCUUAACUCCGAAACUGCAUUCGAUACUGCGGUGCUUUGAGGACUGGAGAGGAGACUGGAAUUCAUGGUGUAGCAGUGAAAUGCGUAGAGAUCAUGAGGAAGACCAGUGGCGAAGGCGGGUCUCUGGACAGUUCCUGACACUGAGGCACGAAGGCCAGGGGAGCAAACGGGG